rnacentral:rRNA from 1 species
AUUGAACGCUGGUGGCAUGCCUUACACAUGCAAGUCGAACGGUAACGGGCCUUCGGGUGCCGACGAGUGGCGAACGGGUGAGUAAUACAUCGGAACGUGCCCGAUCGUGGGGGAUAACGAGGCGAAAGCUUUGCUAAUACCGCAUACGAUCUACGGAUGAAAGCAGGGGACCGCAAGGCCUUGCGCGGACGGAGCGGCCGAUGGCAGAUUAGGUAGUUGGUGGGAUAAAAGCUUACCAAGCCGACGAUCUGUAGCUGGUCUGAGAGGAUGAUCAGCCACACUGGGACUGAGACACGGCCCAGACUCCUACGGGAGGCAGCAGUGGGGAAUUUUGGACAAUGGGCGCAAGCCUGAUCCAGCCAUGCCGCGUGCAGGAUGAAGGCCUUCGGGUUGUAAACUGCUUUUGUACGGAACGAAAAGCCUUCUUUUAAUACAGGAGGGUCAUGACGGGACCGUAAGAAUAAGCACCGGCUAACUACGU